rnacentral:ribozyme from 1 species
UUAGGACGGUGGAUUUCUACCUUCUCGUGGUGUCCGGUGUCAGUACCCUCUCAUUCUGUGAAGGGGAAGCCAAAAGAAUC